ACUUUUGCAGUCAAAUUUAGUGGCAAUUUGGCAACACUGACCCUUUCAGUCUAGCAACCACUUAUGCAACGCCAAAAGGAACCUUGCCCCGAAUCUUUCCUAACAUACCCGACCACCUGCCAAAACCAACGGUGCCAAAGUCAGCAAGAAAACAACCCACAGUGAGGACAGUUGUCCCGACCUAAGUUGCUUCCUGCCAAAGUGAUGAAGAUUUAUGUGACGAAAUUGAUGCAUGUGAUGGCAUGGAUGUUGAUCAAUGUACCGAUGUUCGCACGUUAGAAGCAGUGCCCUGGUUUGCUGUCGUGCAGGGCAGCCCAAUAUUUGAUUCCUGGAAGAAAACAAAUUUCGACCACUAUCCAAGACUCCAAGAAAUAGAUGGCAAACAGCAGCUUCGAGUGGUGCCGAAAUUGACAAAAAAGCACGUGAGCCCCGACAAUCUGCAAAAAAUAAACGUGACCUUGGCUGUGCAGCUUUUCAGCUGAAGCACUGCCGUCGAGAUAAAGGUAUACCAGCGGUUAGACGAGCCUGACUUGAAAGACUGCCACGGCACCAUUCAGUUCACCUUCAUGGUGAACGACCUUUUCGAUGCCUUGAAUAAGAAGCUUCCCCAGUUUGGAAUAACAAGUUCGUCAACAGGAAUUGA